rnacentral:rRNA from 1 species
AACGGCGUCGAGCGGCGGACGGGUGAGUAAUGCCUAGGAAAUUGCCCUGAUGUGGGGGAUAACCAUUGGAAACGAUGGCUAAUACCGCAUGAUGCCUACGGGCCAAAGAGGGGGACCUUCGGGCCUCUCGCGUCAGGAUAUGCCUAGGUGGGAUUAGCUAGUUGGUGAGGUAAGGGCUCACCAAGGCGACGAUCCCUAGCUGGUCUGAGAGGAUGAUCAGCCACACUGGAACUGAGACACGGUCCAGACUCCUACGGGAGGCAGCAGUGGGGAAUAUUGCACAAUGGGCGCAAGCCUGAUGCAGCCAUGCCGCGUGUGUGAAGAAGGCCUUCGGGUUGUAAAGCACUUUCAGUCGUGAGGAAGGUGGUAGUGUUAACAGCACUAUCAUUUGACGUUAGCGACAGAAGAAGCACCGGCUAACUCCGUGCCAGCAGCCGCGGUAAUACG